AAUAUGAUAAAACUUCACAUAUAGUGUAAUCAGAUUAAAGUAUUAAAACUUUAAAUAUUUAUGCCGUUGUAUCCAUCUUGCUGAUUCUCAACGAGCUUCAAACCUCAGCCGAAUCUACCAUUAUCAACGAUUAUCUCUCCAACUAUCUUCAGCAAAUUUAAACCUCAAUUUAUCUAAAUAAACAGGUUUUUGCAAGUGAAUCAUGGUACACUCGUGGUGGUGGGGGAAGGAUGGAGGCUAUCGGUUCCUCAUUAAUGGGUGUAAGAUAGGAUAUAGGUACCAGCAGAGAUGCAGUUUGGUGAAUAUAAAGUUCAAAUGGGUAAAAGAUAGUGUGUUGGAUGCUGUUGUGGCUGGUGGUAGGGAACUCAAAGCAGCCUGCAUCCUUGUGUCCAUCAUUUGCUCUGAUCAUCGAUGCUGCCUUCCAGUAUAUCACCUCUCAAGUCGUAGAGGACAACUUGGUCUUCCUCAUGAUCUUAAGAUUUCCACCUUUACUAGGAGAUACCCCACUAUGUUUGAAGAGUUUUAUGAGAAUGACAGUGGAGGUACUCGUGUCCCUUGGUUUCGUGUGACUCCAGAAGCCCUAAAUCUCCAUAAAGAGGAACUUUUGGUUUUCCAGCAGUAUCAGAAUGAUCUUCUUAAUAGGCUCCGCAAGUUGCUCAUGCUCACGAAAAAUAGGACUCUUCCUUUACAAACAAUCGACCAACUUAAAUGGGAUUUGGGAUUGCCUUAUAACUAUCUUAAUAGUUUGAUACGUCAUCAUCCAGAACAUUUUUCAUUAGUUUCCCUUCCUGAUGGUCGUGCUGGUUUAAGACUUUUGUCUUGGGAUGAUAAUCUAGCUAUUUCGCACUUGGAAAAGAGUUCAGAUUUUCAGACACAGGAAGGUGUUAGAAAUGAAAAUUUGGCUUUCCCUGUUGCAUUUACAAGGGGAUUUGGGUUAAAAAGGAAAUGUAUGAAAUGGUUAGAAGAGUGGCAAAGGCUCCCUUAUACAUCGCCUUAUUGUGACUCUUCCCAUUUGGAUCCCCGUACAGAUGUUUCUGAGAAGAGAAAUGUUGGUGUCUUUCAUGAGCUUCUGCACUUGACCUUACAAAAGAAAACAGAGAGACGGAAUGUGAGCAACCUGCGAAAAGCCUUGUUCUUGCCCCAGAAGUUUACUAAGGUGUUUGAGCGCCAUCCUGGUAUAUUUUACAUUUCAAAGAAGUCUGACACCCAAACUGUGGUUCUUAGGGAAGCGUAUGAACGUCAAAAACUUAUCCAAAAACACCCCCUUGUUGAUAUCAGAGAAAAAUAUGUGAGCCUAAUGAAAGAAGGGGUGCUUAAGAGGAGCACAGGCAUGUACAAGAAGAAAAGAGAUGAAUAUCUUGAUCAAAUGAGAAAUGUUUGUGGUGAUGAUUUCGUUGACAAUAGAUACACUUCUGAAGGAGAGUCGGAUCAUAACCCUCUUUCUGAAUAUGACUCAGAUGAAGCUCCACAAAAUUCAUGACAUAUUGCUUCCUUGUGUUAAAACCUGGUAGUUGCUGUGCGGAGCUGAUCAGCAUGUAUGUGGUAUAGACUUAUAGCAUUCCACGGCUGUCUGUGUAAGUUCAUUUAUGCUAGAAGGAGCUUGGGAAUUUUAUAGAAGCAUGGAGGCAACAUUGGCAAAGAAUAUACAAGUAGUGAUAAAUAUGGUAGUUAUGGUUUGCGUGCUUGUGUUUGCAGGUUAUGUAUUCAUAUGGGUAAUAUUACCCAUCAGUCCCUACAGAAAAGAUUGAUUGCUAUUAGUUAGAGCAAAGACAUUCUCCACUUACGAUGGAACACAAGAAAUAAGGUUUAGCUGCAUUGAGGAGGCCGAUGAUAAUGGCAGGACUUGCAUUGCUAAUGGAUAGAGCUAUCUUCUUAUAUCAUGUUUAGCGCCCAGUUGAGUUGGUCUUAUUCACCUUACGUAGAGAGAAGUUUGCUAAAAUCAGCAGCAAAGAGUGGGGAACUACUACUAGUCUGGAAAGAUAAGUUAAUUGUGCAUCAUUAAGGCGAGGGUUAUGGGGCACACAUGUUUGGCAUAUCUUUUUACUCCAGUGGCUCGGGGAUCAUCAGUUCUGCCACUAAUGGGAAUUUCGUCGGAGGCAAGUGGCAAGUAUUGCAUAUGACUUGGUCACACAGUAGUGACAUUUUCUACAUGGCUCAUGGUGUUUGUUAUAUUAUCUACUGGGAUGUCGGAGUUAGCCAAAGAUGGGAAGUGUGUUGGGGAGAAGAAUCUUAUAGUGAUUCUUGUCAGGCCACCUAAUUGUCCAACACUUUCUUUAGUGAAUGGUACAACAAAGCAGGACCUGAAGGCAUCAAAGCAUGAUACUGCUGACGAGUUGAUUCCAAGCAAAGAUUUUGAGAAAGAUAUGAAAGAUCUUGUAGUUUCAAAAAAAGAAGGGGAUGUAGUGGAGAUGAAGGUGUCAGAGAGGAUUUUGAGGAUCGUUUACUAUUGACUGCUGUAGAAUCUAAGAUAAUGAAGAAUGGGGACAAGCUAGAGUUAGUAAAAAGGAGGUGCAAUCAAAACCAUUGAAUCGAAGUUAGACGAGCUUGUAUGUUGUAUGCUUGUAUCCCCUGCUGUGCUGCUCUGUGUUACAUUUUUGGCAAACUUCUUUGAGGAGAAUGCUCUAUACUAUUUUGAAAUAAAAGAUGCUGGCUUCCUUGAUGCUGAUUAGGAGUCAUAGUGAUAGUGCUAAAAAAACAUGAUUGCCCGAAAUUUGUCUAGCAAUCUCGACUCUUCACUUAAAUGUUGCUUGUUUGUGUUUUAAUUGUUUCAUCAGAUCAUUGUUUGGCACCAGUAAAAUGUUGUUUGUAGCAAUGUAUGAGAGAAGCGAGUUUUAGAUGUAAAAGCAGAGAGGUACUUGGUUUUAAAUGUCCGGUGACCAGUACGGUGAGCCUUGGCGGAAACUAAAUAGGAGAGGGAUAAUUAAUUUGACAGAUCUGAGGUCCCCUCUGUAGCCAUUUUUCUCAUUCACAGUUCAUGACUAUACUUAUUCGCCAUCUUCAGAUCCAUAAUAAAUAUUAAAUAUUUGGGGGCCU